UAUAUUAUAGUUUAAAUAAAAUAUUAAAUUGCAAAUUUAAAGUUAUAAAAUUUUUUUUAUUAAUAUAU
rnacentral:tRNA from 1 species